rnacentral:rRNA from 1 species
ACGCUGGCGGCAUGGCUAAAACAUGCAAGUCGCGCGCGAAUUCUCCGCAAGGGAGAUAGUAGAGCGGCGCAAGGGCGAGUAAUGCAUGGGCGACGUACCUCUUACACGAGGAUAGCCCGCCGAAAGGCGGGGUAAUACUCGAUGAUAUCUUUUGUGGCGGUGGCUGCGAAGAUCAAAGGGCGGGGAUCCUUCGGGACCUGUCGGUGAGAGAGCGGCCCAUGUCCUAUCAGCUAGUUGGCGAGGUAACGGCUCACCAAGGCGACGACGGGUACCGGGGCUGAGAGGUCGGCCCGGCGCAUUGGGACUGAGACACUGCCCAGACUCCUACGGGAGGCUGCAGUAACGAAUAUUGGGCAAUGGGCGAAAGCCUGACCCAGCGAUGCCGCGUGCGGGAUUGAAGCUCUUCGGAGUGUAAACCGCUGUCAGGGAUUUACCGAGUUAGGGCGUAUAACAAGCGCCCGAGUUGAGGGAUCCCAGAGGAAGCCACGGCUAACUUCGUGCCAGCCGCAGC